rnacentral:rRNA from 1 species
CGUAGGCGCGAGCGUUGUCCGGAAUUAUUGGGCGUAAAGAGCUCGUAGGCGGCUUGUCGCGUCGGAUGUGAAAGCCCGGGCUUAACUCCGGGUCUGCAUUCGAUACGGGCAGGCUAGAGUUCGGUAGGGAGAUCGGAAUUCCUGGUGUAGCGGUGAAAUGCGCAGAUAUCAGGAGGAACACCGGUGGCGAAGGCGGAUCUCUGGGCCGAUACUGACGCUGAGGAGCGAAAGCGUGGGAGCGAACAGGAUU